rnacentral:rRNA from 1 species
AUUGAACGCUGGCGGCAGGCCUAACACAUGCAAGUCGAGCGCGCGGCGGACGGGUGAGUAAUGUGUGGGAAAAUGCCUGAGGGAGGGGGAUAACUACUGGAAACGGUAGCUCAUACCGCAUACCACCAGAUAUGCCCAGAUGGGAUUAGCUAGUGGGGGGGGUAAUGGCUCACCUAGGCGACGAUCCCUAGCUGGUCUGAGAGGAUGACCAGCAACACUGGAACUGAGACACGGUCCAGACUCCUACGGGAGGCAGCAGUGGGGAAUAUUGCACAAUGGGCGCAAGCCUGAUGCAGCCAUGCCGCGUGUGUGAAGAAGGCCUUCGGGUUGUAAAGCACUUUCAGCGGGGAGGCGUUACCCGCAGAAGAAGCACCGGCUAACUCCGUGCCAGCAGCCGCGGUAAUAC